rnacentral:rRNA from 1 species
AUUGAACGCUGGCGGCAGGCCUAACACAUGCAAGUCGAACGAGUGGCGGACGGGUGAGUAAUGUCUGGGAAACUGCCCGAUGGAGGGGGAUAACUACUGGAAACGGUAGCUACUACCGCAUACCAUCGGAUGUGCCCAGAUGGGAUUAGCUAGUGGGUGGGGUAACGGCUCACCUAGGCGACGAGCCCUAGCUGGUCGGAGAGGAUGACAGGCUACACUGGAACUGAGACACGGUCCAGACUCCUACGGUAGGCAGCAGUGGGGAAUAUUGCACAAUGGGCGAAAGCCUGAUGCAGCCAUGCCGCGUGGAUGAAGAAGGCCUUCGGGUUGUAAAGUAUUUUCAGCGAGGAGGCGUUACUCGCAGAAGAAGCACCGGCUAACUCCGUGCCAGCAGCCGCGGUAAUUC